AUUGAACGCUGGCGGCAUGCCUUACACAUGCAAGUCGAACGGUAACAGGUUAAGCUGACGAGUGGCGAACGGGUGAGUAAUAUAUCGGAACGUGCCCAGUCGUGGGGGAUAACGCAGCGAAAGCUGUGCUAAUACCGCAUACGAUCUACGGAUGAAAGCGGGGGACUCGCAAGAGCCUCGCGCGAUUGGAGUGGCCGAUAUCAGAUUAGCUAGUUGGUGGGGUAAAAGCUCACCAAGGCGACGAUCUGUAGCUGGUCUGAGAGGACGACCAGCCACACUGGAACUGAGACACGGUCCAGACUCCUACGGGAGGCAGCAGUGGGGAAUUUUGGACAAUGGGCGCAAGCCUGAUCCAGCAAUGCCGCGUGCAGGAUGAAGGCCUUCGGUUGUAAACGUAGCUUUUGUUACGGUAGCGAAAGGUACGUUUCCUAAUUACGAGAGGCGUCGUGACGGUACCGUAACGAAUAAGACACCGGC
rnacentral:rRNA from 1 species